CAGCAGCCGCGGUAAAACGGAGGGGGCUAGCGUUGUUCGGAAUUACUGGGCGUAAAGCGCACGUAGGCGGCUUGGUAAGUUAGAGGUGAAAGCCUGGAGCUCAACUCCAGAAUUGCCUUUAAGACUGCCGAGCUAGCAGGUGAGAGAGGUAAGUGGAAUUCCGAGUGUAGAGGUGAAAUUCGUAGAUAUUCGGAAGAACACCAGUGGCGAAGGCGGCUUACUGGCUCAUACUGGACGCUGAGGUGCGAAAGCGUGGGGAGCAAACAGGAUUAGAUACCCCGGUAGUCCCUGUCUCUUAUAC
rnacentral:rRNA from 1 species